AUCUGCCUCAGGAUCUCAAGCCUCCAGGAACAGUGCCAUGUCUUAAAGCAACCAUGGGCUUAGUGGUUAAACGGUGGAACUGCACCCCUCUGGCCCAGAAAGACUUUUCCCAUAGACUUUGCAUGGCGAAAGAAACUUCUAUAUUUCAGUGGAUCAUUUUUUUUGGGGUACAUCAAC